ACAUCGGAACGUGCCCAGUCGUGGGGGAUAACGUAGCGAAAGCUACGCUAAUACCGCAUACGAACUGAGGUUGAAAGCGGGGGAUCGCAAGACCUCGCGCGAUUGGAGCGGCCGAUGGCAGAUUAGGUAGUUGGUGGGGUAAAGGCUCACCAAGCCGACGAUCUGUAGCUGGUCUGAGAGGACGACCAGCCACACUGGGACUGAGACACGGCCCAGACUCCUACGGGAGGCAGCAGUGGGGAAUUUUGGACAAUGGGCGCAAGCCUGAUCCAGCCAUUCCGCGUGCAGGAUGAAGGCCCU
rnacentral:rRNA from 1 species